UAUUAACUUAGCAUACCAAAAAAAAAAAAAUCAAAAGAGUUCUAAGAGAGAGAGAGAGAACGAAAGAGUCUGAACCCUAAAAUAGCGAUUCCAGCCACUGCCAUUCAUCUCCUCGCCGUCGUUGCCGCCAUGUCUCCUCCAUCAAAGCGUCGCCGGUGGAGUUAUGAGGACGAGGUGAUCGUGGAGCUUCUCAAUUCGUCGAGCUCUCGCUUCUCGGGAUAGUAAUGCUUUAGAUCUUCCGCUUCUGCGUCGUCUUCCACGGCGGAUGCUGCCGCUGGUUCUGCUUUUGCUCCAGCGGCUUGAAGCACUCAUAGCAGUUUGGGCGCAGACUUGGUGGCACUUGCUGAGUAGAUCUGUAAGGCAAGCGAGCGAAAGACUUUGGAAGCUUCGAUUGAAGCUGCGAUAGUGCAAUCAAAACUAUCAAAUCUUAUGGAACUAAUUCUCAUGUUGUUCGAGUCAUUGAGGGCCUGCUAUGGUGUUUUGAGGUUUGUUAUGGAAAAUGGCGCCAAGGGAUGCGAGAUUUGUUCUUGACAGCAUCUGAUUUCAGGUUUCUUUGUUGCUAUGCUUAGGUUGCGAUAACAUUUUGAUUCUGUGCAGGUCAUCGUUAGUGGUAAGUUGAGGGCUCAGCGUGCUAAAUCCAUGAAGUUCAAGGAUGGGUACAUGAUUUCCUCAGGGCAACCAGUCAAGAACUACAUUGAUUCUGUUGUAAGACAUGUACUCCUUAGGCAGGGAUUUGGACAAGAAAUGUUGCAGAUGAGUAACUUCACAAAGCUUUCAUGAAGUAUAGCUUGGUGGCGAGGAUGUUUAUGACAAAAAGGUUCAUUAUAUAGAGGGUAUUCUUCCAGAUGGCACAGCAAUAGCAGUUAAACAGCUUUCUUCUAGAUCGAAGCAGGGGAAUCGUGAGUUCACAAAUGAGAUUGGCAUGAUUUCUGCUUUGCAACACGCGUGUCUUGUUAAGCUCUAUGGUUGUUAUAUGGAGGGAGAUCAAAUGUUGUUGAUAUAUGAAUAUAUGGAAAACAACAGCCUUGCCAGUGCUCUGUGGGGCAAAGAGAAAACUUAAUUGAAAUUGGACUGGUCAACAAGGCGCAAGAUUUGUAUAGGCGUUGCUAAAGGCUUGGCUUACCUCCAUGGAGAGUUAAGAUUAAAAAUAGUUGGUUAGUACCACCAUUGACAAUACAUUUGGUUUUUUUAGAGCAAUUAGUAAUUGACUCUCUAAUUGAUGUCACUACACUAGAAGGAUAACUUAAUAUUAGUGAUAUUUAAGCAUAGUAAGAAGUGUAUUAUUUUAGUAUUACUAGUUUACACCUUUUGAAAGUUUUUUUUUUCUGUAUCUUUCAUGAGAAUUGUGAUUCAUUUACGGGUAGCAGGCUGUUAAUCUGUUUUUGAUUGGAUUGGCUUAACUUUGAAGCUUACCAUUGUGUAUUGAAUUUAGUUGGAUUAUCUUGUUUUGUGGUGAUUUUAUGGAAUUCCUCAACUGAAUUGGUGUUUAAGACUUAUCUUUGAGUGUGUUUAUUAUUUUUGA